rnacentral:rRNA from 1 species
CCUACGGGAGGCAGCAGUGGGGAAUUUUGGACAAUGGGGGCAACCCUGAUCCAGCCAUGCCGCGUGUGUGAAGAAGGCCUUCGGGUUGUAAAGCACUUUCGGCCGGAACGAAAUCGCGCGGGUGAAUAUCCCGUGUGGAUGACGGUACCGGAAGAAGAAGCACCGGCUAACUACGUGCCAGCAGCCGCGGUAAUACGUAGGGUGCGAGCGUUAAUCGGAAUUACUGGGCGUAAAGUGUGCGCAGGUGGCCGCGCAAGUCGAGUGUGAAAUCCCCGAGCUUAACUUGGGAAUUGCGCUCGAAACUACGUGGCUCGAGUGUGGCAGAGGAAGGUGGAAUUCCACGUGUAGCGGUGAAAUGCGUAGAGAUGUGGAGGAACACCGAUGGCGAAGGCAGCCUUCUGGGCCAACACUGGCGCUCAUGCACGAAAGCGUGGGGAGCAAACAGGAUUAGAUACCCUGGUAGUCCACGCCCUAAACGAUGAUGACUAGUUGUUGGGGGAGUUAAAUCCCUUAGUAACGCAGCUAACGCGUGAAGUCAUCCGCCUGGGGAGUACGGUCGCAAGAUUAAAACUCAAAGGAAUUGACGG